UCCUGCCUGCCCAGUGAAUAUUUCAACGGGCGCGGUAUUUUGACCGUGCAAAGGUAGCGUAAUCACUUGUCUUUUAAAUGAAGACCUGUAUGAAUGGCAAAACGAGGGCUYARCUGUCUCCCAUUUCUAGUCAGUGAAAUUGAUCUGCCCGUGCAGAAGCGGACAUAAAACUACAAGACGAGAAGACCCUWUGGAGCUUAAGACCCAAGGCCACCUAUGUUAAUAAGUUACAUAAAUAAACUUAAACUAAAUAGUCUUUGACCCCCGUCUUCGGUUGGGGCGACCGCGGAGGAAAACAAAGCCUCCAUGUGGAAUGGGGCCACCGCCCCAAAAUUAGAUGUGACAACUCUAANUCGCAAAACAUUUGACCAAAUAGAUCCGGCCUACAGGCCGACCAACGAACCAAGUUACCCUAGGGGUAACAGGGCAAUCCCCUCCCAGAGUCCCUAUCGACAAGGGGGUUUACGACCNCGAUGUUGGGUCAAGACAUCCUAAUGGUGAAGCCGCUAUUAAGGG
rnacentral:rRNA from 1 species